rnacentral:piRNA from 1 species
ACACUCACUGGGCUCCUGACUGGU